CCUACGGGAGGCAGCAGUGGGGAAUAUUGCGCAAUGGGCGAAAGCCUGACGCAGCGACGCCGCGUGAGGGAUGAAGGUCUUCGGAUCGUAAACCUCUGUCAGCAGGGAAGAACGGUCACGGUGCUAAGCAGCAGUGAAUUGACGGUACCGGCAAAGGAAGCACCGGCUAACUCCGUGCCAGCAGCCGCGGUAAUCCGGAGGGUGCGAGCGUUAAUCGGAAUUACUGGGCGUAAAGCGCUCGUAGGCGGUAUGUCAAGUCAAGGGUGAAAUCCCCGCGCUCAACGUGGGAACUGCCUUUGAAACUGGCAACCUUGCGUGUGUUAGCGGCUAGUGGAAUUCCAGGUG
rnacentral:rRNA from 1 species